AAAAAGAUAAGCUAAUUAAAGCUUUUGGGUUCAUACCCCAACUAUAAAGAUAACUUUUCUUUUUA
rnacentral:tRNA from 2 species